UACGGAGGGAGCUAGCGUUGUUCGGAAUUACUGGGCGUAAAGAGCUCGUAGGCGGUUUGUUGCGUCGGCUGUGAAAUCCCGAGGCUCAACCUCGGGUCUGCAGUCGAUACGAGCAAACUAGAGUGUUGCAGGGGAGACUGGAAUUCCUGGUGUAGCGGUGAAAUGCGCAGAUAUCAGGAGGAACACCGGUGGCGAAGGCGGGUCUCUGGGCAACAACUGACGCUGAGGAGCGAAAGCGUGGGGAGCGAACAGG
rnacentral:rRNA from 1 species